CUCUUCCGAUCUCUCAUCUGUACGGAAUUACGAGCGUAGUGAAAUAAAAUAUAAAGAUGAGGAUCUUACGGAAACAUUUGUUAUUUUGCAUCCUAAUCACAUUACUGAGCGGAAACGUAGCAGAUAAAUCUUCCUUUCACGAUGAUACGCAAAAU